rnacentral:rRNA from 1 species
AGUGAACGCUGGCGGUAGGCCUAACACAUGCAAGUCGAACGGCAGCACAGUAAGAGCUUGCUCUUACGGGUGGCGAGUGGCGGACGGGUGAGGAAUACAUCGGAAUCUACUUUUUCGUGGGGGAUAACGUAGGGAAACUUACGCUAAUACCGCAUACGACCUACGUGUGAAAGCAGGGGAUCUUCGGACCUUGCGCGAUUGAAUGAGCCGAUGUCGGAUUAGCUAGUUGGCGGGGUAAAGGCCCACCAAGGCGACGAUCCGUAGCUGGUCUGAGAGGAUGAUCAGCCAGACUGGAACUGAGACACGGUCCAGACGCCGUCAGAAGGCAGCAGUGGGGAAUAUUGGACAAUGGGGGCAAGCCUGAUCCAGCCGUACCGCGAGGGUGAAGAAGGCCUUCGGGUUGUAAAGCCAUGUUGUUGGGAAAGAAAAGCAGCAGGUUAAUACCCCGCUGUUCUGACGGUACCCAAAGAAUAAGCACCGGCUAACUUCGUG